UACGGAGGAUCCAAGCGUUAUCCGGAUUUAUUGGGUUUAAAGGGUGCGUAGGCGGAUUGAUAAGUCAGUGGUGAAAGCCUGCAGCUUAACUGCAGAACUGCCAUUGAUACUGUCAGUCUUGAGUAUAUUUGAAGUGGGCGGAAUGUGCAGUGUAGCGGUGAAAUGCUUAGAUAUUGCACAGAACACCAAUUGCGAAGGCAGCUCACUAAACUAUAACUGACGCUGAGGCACGAAAGUAUGGGGAUCAAACAGGAUUAGAUACCCUGGUAGUCCAUACAGUAAACGUUGAUUACUCGAUGUGUGCGAUAAACUGUACGCGUCUAAGCGAAAGCAAUAAGUAAUCCACCUGGGGAGUACGCUCGCAAGAGUGAA
rnacentral:rRNA from 1 species